AUCGAACGCUGGCGGCAUGCCUUACACAUGCAAGUCGAACGGCAGCACGGGAGCAAUCCUGGUGGCGAGUGGCGAACGGGUGAGUAAUACAUCGGAACGUGCCCAAUCGUGGGGGAUAACGCAGCGAAAGCUGUGCUAAUACCGCAUACGAUCUACGGAUGAAAGCAGGGGAUCGCAAGACCUUGCGCGAAUGGAGCGGCCGAUGGCAGACUAGGUAGUUGGUGAGGUAAAGGCUCACCAAGCCGUCGAUCUGUAGCUGGUCUGAGAGGACGACCAGCCACACUGGGACUGAGACACGGCCCAGACUCCUACGGGAGGCAGCAGUGGGGAAUUUUGGACAAUGGGCGAAAGCCUGAUCCAGCCAUGCCGCGUGCAGGAUGAAGGCCUUCGGGUUGUAAACUGCUUUUGUACGGAACGAAACGGCCUUUUCUAAUAAAGAGGGCUAAUGACGGUACCGUAAGAAUAAGCACCGGCUAACUACGUGCCAGCAGCCGCGGUAAUACGUAGGGUGCAAGCGUUAAUCGGAAUUACUGGGCGUAAAGCGUGCGCAGGCGGUUAUGUAAGACAGUUGUGAAAUCCCCGGGCUCAACCUGGGAACUGCAUCUGUGACUGCAUAGCUAGAGUACGGUAGAGGGGGAUGGAAUUCCGCGUGUAGCAGUGAAAUGCGUAGAUAUGCGGAGGAACACCGAUGGCGAAGGCAAUCCCCUGGACCUGUACUGACGCUCAUGCACGAAAGCGUGGGGAGCAAACAGG
rnacentral:rRNA from 1 species